GCCUACGGGGCGCAGCAGUGGGGGAUAUUGCACAAUGGGGGAAACCCUGAUGCAGCGACGCCGCGUGAGCGAUGAAGUAUUUCGGUAUGUAAAGCUCUAUCAGCAGGGAAGAAAAUGACGGUACCUGACUAAGAAGCCCCGGCUAACUACGUGCCAGCAGCCGCGGUAAUACGUAGGGGGCAAGCGUUAUCCGGAUUUACUGGGUGUAAAGGGAGCGUAGACGGCAGAGAAAGUCUGAAGGGAAAGCCCGCGGCUCAACCGCGGAACUGCUUUGGAAGCUUUUCAGCUAGAG
rnacentral:rRNA from 1 species